GAUGAACGCUAGCUACAGGCUUAACACAUGCAAGUCGAGGGGCAGCACGGUGUAGCAAUACACUGGUGGCGACCGGCGCACGGGUGCGUAACGCGUAUCCAACUUUCCCGUUACUCUCGGAUAGCCUUCCGAAAGGGACGAUUAAUACGAGAUGGUGUUCAGUUUCCGCAUGUUUACUGAACUAAAGAUUCAUCGGUAACGGAUAGGGAUGCGUGACAUUAGAUAGUUGGCGGGGUAACGCCCACAAGUCAACGAUGUCUAGGGGUUCUGAGAGGAACGGUCCCCCANACUGGAACUGAGACACGGUCCAGACUCCUACGGGAGCAGCAGUGAGGAAUAUUGGUCAAUGGGGCGCAGGCCU
rnacentral:rRNA from 1 species